rnacentral:rRNA from 1 species
CGUUCCCGGGCCUUGUACACACCGCCCGUCACGUCACGAAAGUCGGUAACACCCGAAGCCGGUGGCCUAACCCCUUGUGGGAGGGAGCUGUCGAAGGUGGGACUGGCGAUUGGGACG